rnacentral:rRNA from 1 species
GACGAACGCUGGCGGCGUGCUUAACACAUGCAAGUCGAACGGAAAGGCCCUGCUUUUGUGGGGUGCUCGAGUGGCGAACGGGUGAGUAACACGUGAGUAACCUGCCCUUGACUUUGGGAUAACUUCAGGAAACUGGGGCUAAUACCGGCUAGGAGCUCCUGCUGCAUGGUGGGGGUUGGAAAGUUUCGGCGGUUGGGGAUGGACUCGCGGCUUAUCAGCUUGUUGGAGGGGUAGUGGCUUACCAAGGCUUUGACGGGUAGCCGGCCUGAGAGGGUGACCGGCCACAUUGGGACUGAGAUACGGCCCAGACUCCUACGGGAGGCAGCAGUGGGGAAUAUUGCACAAUGGGCGGGAGCCUGAUGCAGCAACGCCGCGUGCGGGAUGACGGCCUUCGGGUUGUAAACCGCUUUCGCCUGUGACGAAGCGUGAGUGACGGUAAUGGGUAAAGAAGCACCGGCUAACUACGUG